AACAGGCCCGUCACUCUCUCACCCAUCCUUUGAGAUACCCAGCUCCCUUCACUGCUCCGAGAGACAAUUCCUGGGAAUUCUCCAGUGUUACUACUCCAUGUUUUUGAAGUUAAUUUAGCACAUCCAUCUUCCUACUGUGGGACCAAGGACUGGAAGACCAGCCUUCCCUACGAAGAGGAAGGAGCAUGGCGGGCAGGACUUCCUAACUGUCUAGGAGACCCUCUGUUCUCAGUGGGGGCUCACAUGCAGUUCCCAGGGCUCUGCCUUAAUCACCUGGGCCGGAAUCUGUUUGUGGAGGCACAGCCGGGACAACACAAAUGAACCCGCAGAUGCCCGGCACAGACCUAUGAUCAUGUGACUUUCCCACAAGUCAAGGAAUAUAAGCAGCCCCAAAGCUGUUAAAGGUGCAGAAGGUUGAAGCUGUCGGGAAACAUCUGUUCAAUAGGAAAAGGACCUCUUCCUCUUGGCAGGAGCCAUUGUGCACCCGUCACCCAGAGCCCGCCUCCCGGCACCUGGCUGCCCACCCACCUUCAUCAGAAUCCACCAUCACCUGUCUCCAUCUCCGCCAAGCUCUCACCGGUGGUUCUCAGUUCCCAAGCUAGCUUUUCUGGGCAGGCUGGCCAUUCUCCCUUCCUCAGCGUGACUUAUUCACUGGGAACCGGUCCAGGGUUUUAUUGCAUAGCCCUGGGUGUCCUGGAACUCACUCUGAAGAGCAGGCUGGCCUUGAAUUCUGUCUUCUAAGUGCUGGGAUAAAAGGUAUGCACCACCACCGCCUGGCUUCUUCCUUCCUUCCUUCCUCCCUCUCCCACCUUACACCCAAAGGUCUCACUGUAGCCCUGGUGGCUAUCGCCAAAGACACUCUGAAGGCCUGUUUGGUUUUUUUGUUUGUUUAUUUGUUUUGUUUUUGUUUUUUUCCUCUGCUUUCUGAAUUCUGAAAUUAAGAUGUUCAUUACUAUCCCUAGCUGGAGUUUAGUUGAGAUUGGUUGACCUACCCUAACUGUGGGUGUCACCUUUCCAUGGGCUGGGAGGCCCAGAUUGAAUAUCAAGGAGGACUGGAAGUGAGUAUGAGCUCUCAUCUCUCUGCUUCUUGGCUGCUGAUGCAAUGUGGGUGGAUGCGUUAAGUACCCACUGCUCUACCUUCCCCACCAUAAUGCACUGCAUUAUGAAACUAUGAGCCCAAAUAAACCCACCCUGUGUCACGGCUGUCAGCCAUUUUGAAAUCACAAUGGGAAGAGUAGCCAAUGCAUGCAGGAAUCCUGAUAAAUCUGAAUCUGUACAGCUUCCACUAAAACAGGGAAAGAUGUCCAUUUACACAGUGGUAUCUGGCAGUUCCUCACUGAAGAGAAUUCAGCUUUGACCAGGAAUCAAGAUUACAGUCAUCCACUUGAUAUGUGUGGUGACCAGACAGGCUCUCAGCGACGAGCCUUGGCUCUCUACUGUUCCAUGUUUUUCCUCCACUCACCAUAUUUCUGGUGGCAAACCCCAGAAGGCCCUAAAGAUGGUCACACAUUACAUAUCCAUGUCCUCCUUCCUAUAAGCCACCGCAGCAGCCAGCCUACCUACAGACUUAAGAAAGCAGCUGGAAAUGCUCUAAGUACAAGCGUGUGCCCUCCACUCACUCCUACCAGCCCAGUGGAAAUGAACAGCGAAUGCCCUGGUUGCAAUCACCUUAGUCAAUGCAUUGUCUACAGAGUUUACUGGACUGUAGCAGCGUGGUGCUCAUGGAGGGCCUCUGUGGGACAUGGGGAUGGAGGCCUUGGAAGCUUUAGCUUCUCCACACUUAGGACAACUCAUUCCUGUGGGCUGUCUCCCCAUGGCCAGGGUCAGGCCCUCACUCAAAAGCUGUUUUGUCUGUCUAUCUAUGUCCGGAUGACUUUGGUUUACAGGGGCAGAAACUCACAAGAACAAGGAAGGAUAGACUCGUUCCCUCAGUGCAGAGUCACGGACAGUGGGGAAACAGUGCAAGGCCUCUUUGUCUCUUUGCUUCCCCUCAGUUCUCAUCUCUACAAGUGCAGACAGAACUUCUACCUUCCAGAAGGCUAGCCCUCUGCCCCUCUGGACCCAGAGCCUGUUUUGUGGGCACUGUAGGGGGCUGGUGUGGGCCAUGGGACCACUCUAGUGAAGUGUUCUGAUGGACAGUUCCCACUAGAUCUUCAAGGUGGGAGUAGGCAUGAAGGACAGGGGUUGUGGUAGACAGAACAGUGCCCGCCUGUGUCCAUGUCUAUCUUAGACAUUGUUCUAAGCACUCAAGUCUAUGAGCCUAUGAGGUCCAUUCUUAUGCAAGCCCUCACAUUCCUCUCCCUGCCCCCAUAGGCUUGUAGCCAAAUCAUAAUGCAAAAAGUGCAUUCAGUCUAACUUCACAAGUCUCUACAGUCUACCACAGACUGAACAACUGUUUAAAAGUCCAAAGUUCAAAAAUCUCUUCUGAGACUCAUGGCAAUCUCUUAACUAUAACCCCCUGGAAACUCAAACUUUAAAAAUAAGAUCACAUACUUCCAACAUAUGAUGGCACAGAAUAUACACUGUCAUUCCUAAAGGGAGGAAUAGUGAAGAGGUACUAGACCAGGGCAAGACAGAAGAUAUCAGGGCAGACUCCAGAUGCAGUAUCUUCAUGUCUGAUGUCAAAGCUCUUAAGUCUCCAACUCAUUUCAGCUCUACUGACUGCAACACAUAUCUCUGUCUUGGUUCUACACCCAGUUAGCAGCUUUCCUUGGCAGAUAUCACAUGACUCUGGCAUCACCAACAUCUUGGGGUCUCCAACACCAUCUAGGUUUUAUGUUCACAGCUUCACAAGAUGAUCUCUUUGGGUUUCCAUGCAAGGACACAGGCCUGACCUUAGUGGUUUUCCUUAGUUGCAGAGAAAGAUUUUACAUGUUCUUGUUUCCUUGACUCUAAAGUCGGAACCCCUUGGCUGAGACUGCCAACAUCUAUUACUUGAUGGGGCCAGGACUUGGCCCUCUCCUUCAAUUAUAUAUGCCUCAGCUUUCUGCUAUUGAUGGUUUCCUUCACUGUUUAAGCUUUUCUUUAAUUCCUUUUCACAGGUUGGAAGCAGAGCUAGAUGGGGUCUUGGUGUGAGGUCACCACUCUCUUUAUUCCAUUUAGCACCAGGCUGUCCUUUAAACAUUUUAUUUCCUUGAACACAGGAAUUGGUUCCGACAAAGCAUUUCCUGGUGUUCCUUUUUCUCUUCAAACUAUGCAUUUUGCAUUUUUCCUUGCUCAGCUUGUUCCUUUUCAUAGUAGGUCAGCAUAAGAGGGACCAUUAAAAACCACAUGACACAGUCAACAUUAGGCUGUCUUGAAGUCUCCUUUGCCAACACUAUUAAUCUAAAACUCUUCAAUUUAGCCUCAGGUAGAUUUUUAGGACAAGAGCAAAAAAAAAAAAAAGCCACUUUUUUUUUUUUUUUUUGCUAAAAUAUCACAAGAAUCGUCACUGUUCUAUUGCUAUGAGGAGACACCAUGACCAAGGCAACUCUUAUAGGGAGGGGGAGGGAGACAUGGAGACAUGGAGACAGGGAGACAGGGAGAGGAGAGAUUGGACCUCCAGUGGCAUGAUUCCUCCAACAAGGCCAUGCCCACUCCAACAUGGCCAUACUUCCUAAUCUUCCCCAUUCAUUGUCCAUCCAAGUUCCAUUUCCUGAUGUCUAAGCAUCCAAAUAUAUUAGUCUAUGGGGGCCAUUAUUAUGCAAACCACCACAGUGUCCUACUCUGUAGGGGUUGAUGCCGAUGCUAAGGUCCUGUUCCCCAGUUGGUUCUUUAUCUGUCAGUAAUGAAAGCCAUAGGCCAAUUGCUGGAUGGAAGGUACAGGAGGAACUUCCAGGUCCCUGGAGGCAGGGAGACACAAAGAAGGAGAAUGGAGUUCAUCUUGCUUUGGAGAAAAGUGAACCAGGCAACCAUAUGAGAUCUCAAAACAGAGUAGCCACACAGGCUGGUCCAAAGGCAAGUAAGUGGUCAGUGGAGUUUAGCAACCAAGGUUUAGGGCAGAUGUGAGAAGCUGAGAUAAGAAAUUGGUAGGGGCACACUUUUCUAGGUGGUAGAUAGUAGUGCCCAGCACUUGUGUCCUAAGGCAAGUUCAAAAGAAACAACUGUGUGUGUCUGUGUCUUUUAUCCAAGGAUUCAAGGGAAGCUGGGAGGGGGCUAGUAUUGUGGCCACUCUUGGGGUCAAAGGAGGAUAGAGCAUAAAACUACAUGCAACACUAUUCUAUGACCUGUAUUAGUUAUCUUACAUGGCCAGAGGGCUUUACAAAUGUGGUAAAGAAUCUUAGUGUGGGAAGAGCUUCAGGGAAAUCUGGGAGGACCAAUGGGACAGGGAAGAAGAAGUGGAGGAGGAGGAGAUGUGAUUGGAGCAGAAUUCAGACUCAUGGGGAUUGCAAACCACAGAAAGCUAUGGAGCUUCUAGAAGCUAACAGGGGUAGAAGACUAGCCCCUCUACUCUAGCCCCAUCCCUGCCCAUACUUGAUUUGAGUGCUCUUCUGGGAAAAAAAAUGUAACUUCUAUAUUUCAACUAACAUUUGUGACAAUUUGUAAUGUUAGCAACAUAACAGGUACUGAGAAGCUAAACUCCAAGGCCACUGUGUCUCUCCCAUCCCUCCUUCCUGUUCUUUCCAUCUGCUGUGGAAUGAAUCUUUUCAACAGUUCUCAUGCGGAAGCCUCAAGCAUCUGGAGACAGCAUCAUGCCAGACAGUUAAGGUACUAGGUCCUGUGGGCGGGCUCUAAUCCAACAUGACUGACAUCCCGCAAGUAAAGAACACUACGCCACAGGAUCAAGUUACAGAGCAAGAUGGUGAGAGGACAACACGAAAGAGAACCUCUACAGGCCCAGCAGCCAGGCCUCAGAAGAUAGCCCUGCAGAGAUCUCCAUGUUGGGCUUGUAGCCUCCUGAAGUAUGAGGGAGCCAACUUAUAUGACUUAUAUUGAUGAAGCUCAAGUCUGAUUGAUGUAUCAGAUUUCAAGCAGAGGUGAAACUCUACCUCCCUUUCCAAAAUGCCUGAUUGGACCAGCUCACAGCACAACCCUUGUCUGGGAAUACCUCCCAGCUGAGUUGUUUAGCCAGGACCACAAGCCUAGUGCCUACAGGGCCAGGCAGGGAAUAGGUUAGUGUGAGGAAUGGUGUUUGUGGGUUAAAUCUAAGCAGCCUCCCUUACCUUGUGCUGGCUGCCAGUGUUCCUGUUGGUGUCUAUCUUUCUCCGAGUUCAUGAAGGGUAGGUAUAUGAAACAGCUCUCUUUCUUCCUGACUGUGCUACGGAAAGCAACAACCUUGGCGGGAGAGGCAUUGCCUUGGCCCUGUGUGCAAGAGCCCAUGCAGAGAGACAGUGAGGUGAGCUGGCUAUGCAGACCCUGUCCCUGCCAGGGGCACAGCUGCUGCUUGGCUCCAGACACUUGUCACCAGAGGCAAGUGCAGGCUGAGGCCCGCCAGAGUCUUACAGUCUCUCAAAUGAAGUGGGAAUGUGGAUUAGAAACAAGAAGACCUUAAACAUUAGCAACUAUAUAAAAAAUUUUUUUAAAGCAAUUGCUGGCCACUUUGUACCUAUUAUGAUGGCUACCAUCAAAAAAUGAAAAGAAGUAGAAGCUGGAACGUGCUGGCAAGGGUGAGGGGAAAUUGGAAUCCUGCGCUCGGCUGGUGGGAAUAUAACAGGAGGCAAGCCAAUCUGAGAAACUGCGUGCCAGAUUCUCCAAAGACUAAGAAGAAUGGAGUGUGACUUAGCGACUUCAGCUCUGGGGAUGGAGCCCCGUGUUUCUGAAAGCAGCGAGGAUUUAUUUGCAUGCCUGUGUUCAUAACAGGAUUAGUCACAGGAGGUGUAAAUACAGAAGCAGCCCCCAUCUCUACUGCCAGACAAACAGGUAACAAGGUGUGGUGUACGUUUGCAAAAUAGUAUUACUUAGCCUUAAACGGGAUUAAAAUGUGGAUACAGCCUUCGACACGGAUGAGCUUAGAGGACUGCUCAGUGAGGUGUCAAUCACAGAAGGCUACGUACUGUGUGUAUGAUGUUCUUAGGGUAAUCAUGGUCACAGAGAUAGUUGAAUGAUGGUGGCCAGGGCGAGAGGGCAAUGACAGACAGCUACUACUGAGUGGAGGUGGGGUUUUGGUUCUGCAGGAUGGGAAUGGGAGGUAGAGAUGGUUGCCUAGCAACAUGGAUGUACAGAAAGCCACUGGACUCUACACCUUAAGAUGGCCAGUUACUAAAUCUUAUGUUAUAACACAUAAGACAAUUUGAAAGACAAUGCUUGUGCUGGCCAAGAUGCCCUUAAGGGCUUACACCAUCAUGGGCCCCAGUUUGUACCCCAUGUUUCACACACACACACACACACACACACACACACACACACACACACACACACAGUAGUUUAACUACUUUCUAGCUUCUUCAUGUGUUAGUGUCUUAUGCAGCCAAUUAGAAGAUAAAAUCUUCAUGAAUGUGGGAGCUGUGUCUUAAAGUUCUUCAGUGUUCUUCAGAAAAGUCACUCGGAGCAGGUCACAGACAGCUUUCCAAAUAUUAGCUCACACACAUAUCCAUGCACACACACACAUACACAUAAACACACACAUACAUGUACUCACUAACCCAUACUCAGUCACCAAAUCCACAUACAAGCACACACAUUUGUGUACAUGCACACAUAGAGACAGGCACACACAGACACACAUAGACAUACACACAGACCUGCACAGACAUACAUACACACUGACACACAUAGACACACACACACAAUCACACAUGCAUGCUCACUAACCCAUACUCACUCACAUGCACAUACAACCACACACAUUUACAUAUAUGCACAUAGACAUACACAGAUACAUACAUACUCACGCUCACAAACCCACAGACACACGUGCAAACACACACAGAUAUACAAGCUUACACACACAGAUACAUACUUACACACAGACACACACUCACAGACACACAGAUAUAUACAUACAGACAUACACACAAAGACACACACACACACACACACACACACCCCUAUGUGUUAGAAAGGACCAUGAAAUCCUCAGAGUCUCAGCUCUGAGAGGAGAUACCAUGUAGUUUCAGGCAGGACACUGGAAACUCAGAGAAUUCAUCCUGGCAAGAAUGAGGAGUCAUGCUCAGAGAGCAGAGUGGGAAAGGGGCCCAUGAGAUGGGGUUUCACAUUUGUCCAGGGUAAUGAGCGGUGCUGAGCAUGCUCACACAGAGAGUGUCAGGACUGGAUUCGAUCUCGAGAUAAAUCAUUGAAAACUGGCACCCAAGAGCUGAGGGGAGGGCUCACAAUAAAGUGCCUGCCAGGCGAGUGUGAACACUUGAGUUUCAUCCCCAGCACCCACGUCAAAUACAUAAACAAACAAACAGCUCAGCAGGGCAUGCUUGGUGAGUGGAGACAGGACUUCUCAGGGCUCUCUGGCCACAUGAUCCAGCUGAAUUGGCAAAAUCAAGGUUCACUGAGAGUCUGUCUCUAAAGAAUAAGGUAGAGAGUAUAGAAGGAGAUAACCCAAUAUUGACUUCUGAACUCUACAUACAUGUAUGUAUACAUGUGUGCAUGUGUGGGUACUCAUGCACAAGAGCAUGUGUGCACACACACAUGCAUGCAUGCACAUAUACACACUCAUAAAAGAAAGGAAAAAAAAGAGAAAAGAAAAAGAAAUCCUGGAAAGUGACAGGGGCUACUGAUAAGACCCUGGAGAAGGCAGAAGGCCCUUUGCACAGCCCUACAGGGUUCCCAUGCCUCUGUCUGGACACUGAGGAGCUUAGGAUGAGAGCAGGAGCUGCUGUAGCCUUGGAGGGUUCAGGGAGGGAUGGGAUGCUGUGGCCCGUCAGAGCAGGUGGCCGGGAAUCUGCUUCAUUGUGGUGCGUACACACCCUGAGAAUGGGGGCAAAUCUUAGCUGCACCCAGUCAAGCUGACUGACCACAGGGCCAGCCUGGGUCCCUUGGCCCUUUCUCUAACCAUUUCCAGGUUACCAUCAGCCAAUGGAGGCCUGGCUGAGGUCCCAUCAUCAAACCCACUGUGCUCUCUGGAGCCGCCUGGAGGAAAUAUCUAGAACUUCAGCUUGAACGAUUCCAGACAAGGUACCAAGUACUCAGUAACCCAUGGCAACCCCUAGAGGCUGCUAGAGCCUCAGCAAUGAGGAGCUGUAUCCCAAGGAACCUGCCAGUUCCCCUGAGAUGGCCCAAGCUUGGUGAUCUUAGGAUGACCUUCAACAGUCUACAUGCCACGGGAGGCUCGUGACAACAGUGUCAGAAGGGGACAGUGUCUACCCCUCUCACACUUCCCAUGGUGAGAGCCAUGGUAGAAGGAAUGGUACGAACAAAGGCGUAACUUCUCCAGUAGCCAACGGCUGUGGAGAUCCCUCCAUGUGCUUACGUAGUAUACCCAGUUUUUAGCAUGGAGUCCCUAAACUGCAAGUUCAGAAGUCACUAACCAGCUGUGAUGGGUAAAGUCUCUUCAGGCCUGGACAAUACUAUCAGUAGGUCUCCCUUGGGGCAGCUUGGGUAAAGGUAGAGGGAAGAAUGUCUUUUGGUUACCUCGUGGUUAUUAAUCUGGGAGAUUCUGGGUGGUUGGUUCCAGGGUUUUGUACUUGAUGAUAGCGGCUCAAUUCUUUUUUCUAAACCUUGAUCAUUGGUAAAGACACCAGGAUCCUAUAGGGCUGCCACCAGUUGGACUCAAAUCAGUCUAUACUUCUUAACAUAGGUGGGGCACUUUCAAAGGACCCUGUCACUUACAUGAACCUCCAGGACCUCUAGCCUCUUCCUUGUCUAAACCUUGGCUUUCUGCCUCCUUUGUAAGUGGCUAGCAGUCAGACACUGGAAACAGACAGCUUUAGCCAAGCCCUUGUGAGCUUCUUAGCUCCAUUAUCAUACCUACACCCUGGACUUUGAACCUCAGCAAGUGGAGUUCAUCAUGUUUCUUAGGAGAUAGGGCAACCAAUUAAGGGUUCCACGGGUCUUGAGUAGGGCUCCUAGUGGGUCUCUGAAGGUAGGGAUGGGUGGAAUGGAGGCCAUAAGACACCAGUUAACUAACUGACUCUGGAUGCCAAAGUUUUUAAGUUCAGACUCCAUUUUAGAGAGCCUGGCCUAAGUUUGAACUCCACUGGUCUCCAAGUUGCCCCCGCAACAAAACCUGGGCCUAGCUUCAGUCUCUAGGCUAAUCCCCAACAAGACCAGCGUUUCCAGGUUACACUUUCAACAAGACCAGUAUCUCCAGGUUGUUCCCUCAACAAACCUGCAUGCCCAGGUUACAAGUCCACUCCUUGCCUAACGAUCACCAAUGCAGAGGGGAACAGAAGUUAAGUUUAUGAUAUGACUCCCAGCACCAGCCAAUUAUGUUAAAGGCCACAGGAGCUUUCCAAUUUGAUGCUUGCACACAUCUUCCCUGCUUGUGUUUACUAUAAAGCCUUGCCCCGAUAGACAUUUGGGGCUUCCCCACCACCAGAACUGCCAUGCGUGUCGGUAGUGAGCUGAGGGGCCUGAGCUAGCUUGAAUAGAGUAAAGACCCUGCUGUAAGUUGCAUCCAAUCAUCUCCUGUCUGUUUUUUGGGGGGGAUUACUAAUAUUUCCCUGGCACAACACCUCCAGGAGAGAAAGAAGGACCCUCGUCCCCGAGCCUCAUGCAUGGUCUUUAUAUUUUACUUGUGAGCUAGCAUUUAACCAUCUAUUCUCUGAGUCCUGCUUACAUUCUAACUCUCACUCUCAGGGUCAAAGCAGUGCGUACUGGGGAAACUGGACAUCUGUUCCCCUUAUCCACCCCACAGAGCCCUUCCUCCCUCAUCGUUACUCAAAACAAGCAACGAAGCUACAGGGACCUGUGAGAGAAAGACAGAAGCAUGUUGUCCUCUGAGAGGCUCCACCCAGCAGC